rnacentral:tRNA from 1 species
UUCACUACUCAAUUGGUAGAGUGCAAAGCUCUUAACCUUGUGGACGUGGGUUCAAGCCCCAUGGUGGAG